rnacentral:rRNA from 1 species
UACGUAGGGGGCAAGCGUUGUCCGGAAUUAUUGGGCGUAAAGAGCGCGUAGGCGGUCCGAUUAGUCGGCUGUGAAAGUCAGGGGCUCAACCCUUGAAAGCCGGCCGAUACUGUCGGACUAGAGUCCGGAAGAGGCAAGUGGAAUUCCCGGUGUAGCGGUGAAAUGCGCAGAUAUCGGGAGGAACACCUGAGGUGAAGACGGGUUGCUGGGCCGACACUGACGCUGACAGCGCGAAAGCCAGGGGAGCAAACGGG